CGCCACCACCUCCCACCGGUCUUCGCGAUCAUCUUUCUCCCUAUCGUCACCGGCAUCGGCCUUCCCCUCCGACCUCCCUUAGAUGCUUUCCUUCCCAUCGAACUCCCUAGUCACAUUUUUUUUUGCCUCUAACCCUUCCGAAGCCCUCUCGAAUCUUUCCAAGCUCUCACAGAUGCCUGCCCCCUCCCUGCUCUCCUCACUGCCACCUCCCAUC
rnacentral:lncRNA from 1 species